UUCAAUGACACAAGCCCUAGCCGGAUUGUAUGCUCUCCUCUCUCUCCUCCACAUUGUUCCAGCCAAUAAUGGCAAUAAAAUCGUGUGCUACUGCAAGACUCAAGAUUUGCUCAUCCAUUUCAGCUAAGUACAUUAAUGGCCCUGGUCUUCUCGACAAAUUUCAACCUAGACCAAGGUUGGAUCUGCUUCCGUCUCCCGUGGUUGAUAGCCGCUAUCAAUACAGCUUAGAGUUUACACGGUGAGCAUGAGACGUUCGCUGCCUUGAAGACUCUUCUUAUCUAUGUCUUAUUUUCCAUUCUGAGAUAUAUUCAGACUUGAUGUAUUAUUAUAUUUCCAGACUUGUAUAUUUCGAUCUAGAUGCUCUUGUAUGGAUUAGACCAGACUCUAGGAUGUAUUUUCUUAUUUCCACAUUUGAUUUAUAUUAUUAUCGCCAGACUUACGUGAU